rnacentral:lncRNA from 1 species
AACGAUCAGAAACCCAGGGACGAACUCUCCUUCUUUCAAAACCCUAACUCCUCUAAAUUCACUCAAAAUCCAAGAAAUAAAACCCAAUUGAAGGUGAAUCAAGGCUGAAUUUGUGAUCCUCAUACUUAGUAGGUCACAAGGUGAUUUAGGUGGAUCAUCAAGUGGACAAGGCGGGUCGGAUAACCGCUUAAAAGGAAAGCUUUGAAAAGGUACGCGGCUAUUCGCUUCGUAAUAUCUGGUUUUAGUACUUUUAUGCUUAGUGAUGGUAGCGAAUUGCGGAUGAUGAUCAAGUACCCGAAAGGAUCGAACACACAAAUAUCAAAGCUUCCGCAAUUAUAAUAGUCCUUUUGAAACGAAACUUAUGUGUAAUAAGUAGAAGUAGUUUUGUUGAAAAUAUUUAAAAUCCAUGUAAAUUAUCGUUUUGUGGAUAUUUG